rnacentral:rRNA from 1 species
GAUCAUUACAAGUUGACCCCGGCCCUCGGGCCGGGAUGUUCACAACCCUUUGUUGUCCGACUCUGUUGCCUCCGGGGCGACCCUGCCUCCGGGCGGGGGCCCCGGGUGGACAUUUCAAACUCUUGCGUAACUUUGCAGUCUGAGUAAAUUUAAUUAAUAAAUUAAAACUUUCAACAACGGAUCUCUUGGUUCUGGCAUCGAUGAAGAACGCAGCGAAAUGCGAUAAGUAAUGUGAAUUGCAGAAUUCAGUGAAUCAUCGAAUCUUUGAACGCACAUUGCGCCCCCUGGUAUUCCGGGGGGCAUGCCUGUUCGAGCGUCAUUUCACCACUCAAGCCUCGCUUGGUAUUGGGCGACGCGGUCCGCCGCGCGCCUCAAAUCGACCGGCUGGGUCUUUCGUCCCCUCAGCGUUGUGGAAACUAUUCGCUAAAGGGUGCCUGCUGGGAUGUGCCAAACGGCCCCGGUAAAACAACCCCAUUUCUAAGGUUGACCUCGGAUCAGGUAGGGAUACCCGCUGAACUUAAGCAUAUCAAUAAGCGGAGGAAAGGGCGAAUU